ACAAUUUAGAAAACGUUAUAAUCUAAAUAAAGAUUUGGUGCGUAAUAUGCGUGCGAACUCAUAUGCCGGUAUCAUCGAAAUUUACAGACCUACCAGUGGAAACUAAGGUUUUAUAAUUGGAAUUUGGAAUGCUGGGUGUAUUGGGCUGUAUUUGACUGUACACAUGCCACCCCAUUGUAAAUUAAGAAGAGAUAUUACUGUAGAAAACAAUACCAUUCAUUAAAUAUAUAAUUGGUUAGUAAUGCUGACAUGGAGAUUGUAAGUGUGGAUGCCAACUGGAACUGGAGCUACUCAUGACAUUUGGGCAAACCAGAGGCAUUAAGCAACAUCUAGAGGACUUAAGCUGGAAUAAAUCCUUAUGAUUACUUGGAGAUCCAGGAUAUGCUUUAGAGAAGUAUACUCCCAUCUCAAAUGCUAUACCAGGACCACAAGAAGCAUAUUACACUGUAUGA